AUGCGUAGGGGGCGAGCGUUGUCCGGAAUGAUUGGGCGUAAAGGGCGCGUAGGCGGCCCGGUAAGUCUGGAGUGAAAGUCCUGUUUUUAAGAUGGGAAUUGCUUUGGAUACUGCCGCGCUUGAGUGCAGGAGAGGUUAUCGGAAUUCCCGGUGUAGCGGUGAAAUGCGUAGAGAUCGGGAGGAACACCAGUGGCGAAGGCGGGUAACUGGACUGCAACUGACGCUGAGGCGCGAAAGUGUGGGGAGCAAACAGGAUUAGAUACCCUGGUAGUCCACACUGUAAACGAUGAAUGCUAGGUGUAAGAGGUAUCGACCCCUUUUGUGCCGGAGUCAACACAAUAAGCAUUCCGCCUGGGGAGUACGGCCGCAAGGUUGAAACUCAAAGGAAUUGACGGGG
rnacentral:rRNA from 1 species